CCCAGCGCGCACCGAGCCGGCUGCGCCCGGGGCUCCACGGCGCGAGCCCCGUGAAUGCGGCGCCAGCCCAGGGGCCCCGGUAACUGGGGGAGCCGCGGGGGGCGGCACCCCGGAUCGGGCAGGGGAUCGGGGCCGGGGCCCCUACAGGCUCUCCCCGUCCCAGGUGGCCCUGACUUUCUGGAGAGAGUAGUCACAGAGCUGUGAGGAAGGGGAGAUGCCAUGUGGCGACUGUCCAGCAGGGGAAGUCAGAGCAGGAUCCAGUGGCCAGAUGCUGAAGCUGGAAAAAUUCAGAUGAGAGAGAAGGUGGAAAUUUUUCACUGAGGGUGAGUAACCAUUGCAACAAUUUACCAAGGGCUGCGGUGCAUUCUCCAGCACUUGAAGCGUUUGCAUCAAGAUGGCUGCCUUUCUGAGGGAUCUGCUCUAGUCUGGACAUGGUGAAGGAAUCAGUGGGUGAUUCUCCGGCCUGUGCUGUGCAGGGUCAGAAUGGCCCUUUGGCCUUAAUAUCUGUUGGGCUAAGACAACAUGGGAAAUGGGGUGUUUGGUGGAAAAUACCUUGUUUUUAAAGACCUUAGACAGUUUAAAAUGGAAGGGUCGUUAGACUAUUGUGGAAAAUCCAGUGUCAUCCUCUUUUGGGAGUAAGAAAUGGGAGGUUGAAGAUGUCCUUCACUUACUUUGUAGUUUUCCAGUUUCUUAGUGAUUGUAUAAAAUGGGGACAGAGACCUUUAGCUGACAUUAAAUGACAUUUUGUUCUGUGUGAAUUAGUCUUAGGACGGGCUAGGUACCACCUCUGUGUUAAUAAAGUACUUUAUAAAAACGUAGAGCGCAGGCCAUAGAAUUAUUAUGUUAUAAUGGUUCAAAAAAGAAACUUUUACAAAGGUGACAAAAUAAACCACUUACUCACCUUAUAUGUUUUUUUGCCAUGUGCUGAAUCUACGGAGAACUCUGCCAGGACACUGAAAUGCCAACAUAAAGCAUUAAAACAUCGUAACGAUGGCUGCAUUGGAAUAGAUACAGAGAACUCUCUUAUGCUGGUCUCUAUCUUCUGUAGCAUACUAACUGGUCGAGAUGGUAGACUUCAUAGAAUCUUUGUCCAAUCUGCUGUCAAGCACAUCCUCACAGCCGCUGACGUUCAGAUUGCUGCAGCUGGAGGAGGAGUUCCAUGGAUGUGUGAACUCUAGGGCUCACAGCCCAGGAGAGUUCCGUGGAGGGAUGUGAAGGUAGCUAACGAGGCUGCUGAAGGCUCCAGUUCCUGCAGGACUUGUGGUUGCACCCCUGCUGCUCUGCUGACGCCCCGCGAACCUGACAGCACCUCAGCUGUAUCUUCCCGACAUCCUCUGGGGCGCAGGGUGAUGCAGAGAAAUUGGUGUGGCCUGGUGGCCAGCGCACAGGCUGGCCCUUAGGCUCUGUUCCCAGCUGUGGCCUUGCCUGUUUGCUCUUCAAAGUCCCUCCAGCCCUUCUGAUUCGUUGUCACUUGUGGGAAUGGCAGACGCUCUUUUCCUGGAUUUCCAUUCCUGAAGGAUCUCGUCUGGCUCGCUUCACUUCCGGCCACGCAACCGUCACAGACUGUCCUGCCAGCAUCACUACCGCUGGGGUUUCACGGUGCGAUGGGUGGUGUGGAUGCUCUGACUUGGGUUCAAAUCCGCCUCAUUUUGGUUUUGCUUAAAACCAGGUCUACACUUGGGAGUGUUAAUUCAUUUGUAGAUUUUAAGGCCCUGUGAUCAUCUUGUCUGACCUCCUGUAGAACCCAGGCCAGAGAACAUCCCUGAAUCAAUUCCUAUUUGAACUCGAGCAGCUCUUUUAGAAAAACAUCCUAUCUUGAUUUUAAAAUUGCCAGGGAUGGAGAAUCCGCCACAAGCCCUGGGAGGUUGUUGCAAUGGUUAAUUAUCCUCUCCAUUAAAGAUGUGCAGCACUCUGCCUUUGUCUGGCCUCAACUUCCAGCCACUGGCUCUUGUUAGAUGUUUGUCUGCUAGACUGAAGAGCCGUCUGCUGUCACAUUCCUGGUUCCUCUGUAGGUAUUUAUAGACCGGGAUCAAGUCACCCCUUAACCGUGGCCAUACGAAGAAAAAACCCCAGCUAUUCCAGUGUGAAAAUGUUUUUGCUGGUAUAACUUAUAUUGGCUCAGGGUGUGAAAUGAGCGAUACCAGCAAAGAGUGCUUUUGCCACUUGAACCGCUUUGCUAGUACAGAAAUGUCAUACAACAUCACCCCCAAACAGCUGUUGCUAUUGGGGUAGCUGUGAGGCGUAGCCCUGCCCCACCUCAAGAAGGAACAGAUUUAAGCUGCACUUUCAUUAUGUGAAAUUGGAUCAUCCACACGGGGUUUCCGACGGGGAAUAGGGGAUGUGGUUUCUGCGACAGCAGGGCCUGGACUUCAUGCCCCAGAGGUCCCUGCCAAUCUUGUGUCCUGUGGAUUUGCCAUCAGACCUCUCCUUCAAGCUCUCCUUUGCUGUGAGGCCUUCAAUAAACAUUUUUAUCAUCUGUUAAA